UACAGUAUAAAGAUAUAAAGUGCGAUAACUUUUUUUUUGUUUCUGUUAUAAUUACCUGUGUUCUUUGUAUGAUCAAAUAACUGAAGCAAUUUUUGUAAUUUGUUCCAGAAUUUUUGAACUCUGAGAGAUAUUUCAGGAAACAAUUGGUGGAGAUACGCAGAACCGUCACUAUGAAGUUCCGAUUAACUGAUCUCAAAUUGGUGAAGAGUCGCCUGAAAUGGAGUCUCAUCUAAGAUGCCGUGGCCGCACCGGCUGGGGCUUCUCGCCUUCCUCCCACCGACUGCCCAGUGUGACCGCCGCUCACUCUUAUUCGCCCCUGCAGUGUCCUGCCGUUUCUUAGCGCCAAUUUAUCAUUCCUAUCGAAUUGUGGAGUAUGAAGAAAAUCUAAAAAUGAGACACAUUUGACAGCGGGCAAGCAUAGACACAAUGAUCUCAAAAGUUAUUCUAAUCUGCUGUUCAUUUAUGGUUUACUGACGUUUCCUGAUAAUGGCAUAUUGAGCAUAUUCAUUGUCCUUUCUUGUUGAGAUUUAUAACUGAACUGCGAAACAAAGUGUUCACAUUCACGUGAUAAGACGGAAGGCCAGAGAAAGACCUGUAACUAAUACACAAGACCAGAGAUAGAGAACCACUCACAUUUUAGCACGGAGUUGAAUGAUGGAUGUAUCAGGAAAUUUCCAUGGGGAGAUUAUAACAAGCAGGAUUUUUAGACUUCAUAAUGACGCCGGACUAACGAGGAAAACUAGUCUCAGCAGAUUUCAGCAAUAAGCAACUCAAAAACUUCGGCUUGUUCUACGACAAUUUUGAGAGCUUGAAUGAAAACAAAGAGUCCAAGCAAAAGACGGACAAUGGGAGAAAAAACUCAGGGGCAGGGAGCAAUGAGAAAGAAA
rnacentral:lncRNA from 1 species